GAUGAACGCUGGCGGCGUGCUUAAUACAUGCAAGUCGAGCGAAGCGGCGACGGGUGAGUAACACGUGCAUAACCCCCUCUAAGACUCGGAUAACUUCGGGUACCCGGAGCUAAUCCGGAUACUGAUAGAUGGUUCCUCGCUGCAUUAGCUAGUUGUUAAGGUAACGGCUUACCAAUGCAACGAUGCAUAGCCGACCUGAGAGGGUGAGCGGCCACACUGGAACGGAGACGCGGUCCAGACUCCUACGGGAGGCAGCAGUAGGGAAUGUUACGCAGUGGACGAAAGCCUAACAGAGCACAGCCGCGUGAGGUAUGAAGGUCUGCGGAUCGUAGUACUCUGUUAUUAGGGAAGCGGUACCUAAUCAGAAAGCCGCGGCUAACUCCGUGCCAGCCGCCGCGGUAAUGC
rnacentral:rRNA from 1 species